rnacentral:rRNA from 1 species
CCUACGGGUGGCAGCAGUGAGGAAUAUUGGUCAAUGGGCGCACGCCUGAACCAGCCAAGUAGCGUGAAGGAUGACUGCCCUACGGGUUGUAAACUUCUUUUAUAAAGGAAUAAAGUGAGGCACGUGUGCCUUUUUGUAUGUACUUUAUGAAUAAGGAUCGGCUAACUCCGUUACCGCAGCCGCGGUAAUACGGAGGGUGCUAGCGUUAUCCGGGUUUAUUGGGUUUAAAGGGUGCGUAGGCGGACUGUUAAGUCAGCGGUAAAAGCCCGGGGCUCAACCCCGGCGAGCCGUUGAAACUGGCGGUCUUGAGAUGGCGAGAGGUAUGCGGAAUGCGCGGUGUAGCGGUGAAAUGCGUAGAUAUUGCGCAGAACUCCGAUUGCGAAGGCAGCAUACCGGCGGCGAUCUGACGCUGAGGCACGAAAGCGUGGGUAUCGAACAGGAUUAGAUACCCUGGUAGUC